UUUUUUUUUUUACUUUAUUAAAAUACUAAAUUUUAUUUUUUUUUCCACGUACAUUUAGUCUUCCCACCACUUCCAUUAGUC
rnacentral:misc_RNA from 1 species